GUGAGGGCAUUCUGGCUGUGACAUCUGUCACCCCACUGAUCGCCAGGGUUGGUCUGGCUGAUCUGGCUGUUUAGGCAGUGUCCGCAUUCCCCUCUCACCAAAAGGGCAUCCCUCCCAAAGCCGCAUGUUUGAAGAGGAUGAUCAUCUCCAAUAGAGGAGGGCCACCAGUCUUUGGUCAAGGGUAUACCUCCAAACUUCCAAACAAGUUCUCAAAACAGAGGAUUCAUGUAAAGUACUU
rnacentral:snRNA from 1 species